AUGAUUAUUCUAUUUCUGCCGCAGAGGGGGAGAGACAGGAGAGUUAGAAAGGCGGGUUCCAGGCGAGGGCUGUCAUCAAGGCGUUUGGUGUGGAGCGCCUCUUCAGGCACGCUAGCCCCAGUGAGUCCAGUGUCCCUGGGAGUAGAUGACAUCAGCAUCCCGGUUUACAGAGAGAAUCUCAGAGCGGCCUUCAUGCUGGAUCAACAAGCAGACCUGAGAUGUCAUCGACAGAGAGAUGUCCCCCCGCCUCCAGCUGAGCGACAGAGAUGAAGCAGAAGCUGCUUUUGAUUUUUAAAAAUUUUUUUAUUUUUGUAAAUUUAUAUCCAAAGAGUUAGCAUCUGGUGCAAGGACGAUUUCAGGAGUUAGAUGCCUUAGUGCCCCUUACGCAUUUAGCCCAUCCCCCCUCCCACAACCCCUCCAGGAACCCUCUGUUUGUUCUCCAUAUUUAUGAGUCUCUUCUGUUUUGUCCCCCUCCCUGGUUUUAUAUUAUUUUUGCUUCGCUUCCCUCUUGUUCAUCUGUUUUGUCUCUUAAAGUCCUCAAAUGAGGGAAAUCAUCUGAUUGUUGUCUUUCUCUGACUAAUUUCACUUAGCAUAAUACCCUCCAGGUCCAUCCACGUAGUUGCAAAUGGCAAGAUUUCAUUCUUUUUGAUUGCCGAGUGAUACUCCAUUGUAUAUAUAUCCCACAUCUUUAUCCAUUCGUCCUUCGAUGGACAUUUGGCCUCUUUCCAUACUUUGGCUAUUGUUGAUAGUGCUGCUAUAAACAUGGGGGUGCCUGUGUCCCUUCAAAACAGUGCACUUGUAUCCCUUGGAUAAAUGCCUAGUAGUGUAAUUGCUGGGUGGUAGGGUAGUUCUAUUUUUAGUUUUUUGAGGAAACUCCAUCCUGUUUUCCAGAGUGGCUGCACCAGCUUGCAUUCCCAUGCUUUUGAUUUUUAAAGAAAGAGUCUUGAUACCCUUUAUUUCGGGAAUUGUUCUUAAUAGAUCACAAAGAAAGUUCACAUUCGCCGGGAAGAGAAGAAGGGCAGUCGCGAUAACAGCAACAGUAAUAAUAAGCGUGGCCGUUAUGGGGCGCCCGGUGGCUCAGUCGGUUGGAUGUCCGACUGUAGCUCAGGUCAUGAUCUGACAGUUCAUGGGUUCGGCCCCGCAUCAGGCUCUGUGCUGACAGCUUGGAGCCUGGAGCCUGCUUUGGAGUCUGUGCCUCCCCCGGGCCCCCGCUCUCUGCCCCUCCCCUUCUCGCACUCUGUCUCUCAAAAAUGAAUAAAUGUUAAAAAAAAUAUUUUAAAAAAAGGCA
rnacentral:lncRNA from 1 species